UGGGGAUGAGGAGAUACCUGAUAUUUGGAUAAGCAAUGAUUUUUUGAUUUUUUAUUCUGAUUCUGUA